rnacentral:rRNA from 1 species
AACAGGAUUAGAUACCCUGGUAGUCCACGCCCUAAACGAUGUCUACUAGUUGUUGGGUCUUAAUUGACUUAGUAACGCAGCUAACGCGUGAAGUAGACCGCCUGGGGAGUACGGUCGCAAGAUUAAAACUCAAAGGAAUUGACGGGGACCCGCACAAGCGGUGGAUGAUGUGGAUUAAUUCGAUGCAACGCGAAAAACCUUACCUACCCUUGACAUGUCAGGAAUCCUCGAGAGAUCGGGGAGUGCCCGAAAGGGAACCUGAACACAGGUGCUGCAUGGCUGUCGUCAGCUCGUGUCGUGAGAUGUUGGGUUAAGUCCCGCAACGAGCGCAACCCUUGUCAUUAGUUGCUACGAAAGGGCACUCUAAUGAGACUGCCGGUGACAAACCGGAGGAAGGUGGGGAUGACGUCAAGUCCUCAUGGCCCUUAUGGGUAGGGCUUCACACGUCAUACAAUGGUACAUACAGAGGGCCGCCAACCCGCAAGGGGGAGCUAAUCCCAGAAAGUGUAUCGUAGUCCGGAUUGUAGUCUGCAACUCGACUACAUGAAGUUGGAAUCGCUAGUAAUCGCGGAUCAGCAUGUCGCGGUGAAUACGUUCCCGGGUCUUGUACACACCGCCCGUCACACCAUGGGAGCGGGUUUUACCAGAAGUAGGUAGCUUAACCGCAAGGAGGGCGCUUACCACGGUAGGAUUCGUGACUGGGGUGAAGUCGUAACAAGGUAACC